rnacentral:rRNA from 1 species
CCUACGGGAGGCAGCAGUGAGGAAUAUUGGUCAAUGGACGCAAGUCUGAACCAGCCAUGCCGCGUGCAGGAAGACGGCUCUAUGAGUUGUAAACUUCUUUUAUAGGGGAAUAAAGGUAUCCACGUGUGGAUAUUUGCAUGUACCCUAUGAAUAAGCAUCGGCUAACUCCGUGCCAGCAGCCGCGGUAAUACGGAGGAUGCGAGCGUUAUCCGGAUUUAUUGGGUUUAAAGGGUGCGUAGGUUGUUUUUUAAGUCAGCGGUGAAAGUUUGUGGCUCAACCAUAAAAUUGCCGUUGAAACUGGAAGACUUGAGUGUGUUUGAGGUAGGCGGAAUGCGUGGUGUAGCGGUGAAAUGCAUAGAUAUCACGCAGAACUCCGAUUGCGAAGGCAGCUUACUAAGCCAUAACUGACACUGAAGCACGAAAGCGUGGGGAUCAAACAGGAUUAGAUACCCCAGUAGUC